rnacentral:lncRNA from 1 species
CGGAUCACGAGGUCAGGAGAUCGAGACUGUUCUGGCUAAGCCAGUGAAACCCCCUCUCUACUAAAAAAAUAACAAAAGCGAAGUGCAUCUCCCAUAAACGAGGUACUGCAGGAAGAAAGCAGAAAAUGAGACCCGAGUACACACAUGCACGCGGGCGUGCGCACACACACACCAGAAGAAAUGAACCAAGAGGAAAGGAAAUAUUUUCAAGUAAGCAUUUGGAGAUGGGAAAAACACCUUGAAACAGAAAUUCAUAAAGUACACACAUGUUUUUUUUUUAAGUUAAAAGAGGAACAAUA